CGCGCAUCCUCCAACCAGUUUCUUUCAGUAGGUAUGCAUUCUAUGUUGUAACUCAGUCUUCAUAAAUGUAAUUCAAAUUAUGGUUUAUGGAUGGGGUUAAGUUAUGGUUGUGUGUUCUUUUCACACGGUAUACAGUUUUCGUCUGUAUGUCGGGAAAUGGCACUUUAAGAGGAAAGGUUCAUCUGUAUCGCUCAACGAAGUAUCUAGAUUGUCCGAUCUAGCAUUUGUCUCACAAAAGAGGUCAGCGAACCAUUACACCCGUAAAUUUGGCAGUCGAUCUUAAUUUUCAAAAGAAUGACUCACAAUACAAUAUGUAAACUAUCUAAAUGAAGAAAUUGCAUUAGUUUUAUUAUUCACUUAUAUUCUCCGAAAGAUAAUAUAGAGUUAUCGACCAACUAACAUGUGGAGAAACACUAAAUGGGAGUGACUUGUCGGUGUACAACAUAAAAUUAGAAUAUGAAAUUCUAGCAAUCUCUUUAUGGAUUAAAUGUUGGCACGAGGGAAAUCCAGGCUACAGCAUAAUAAAGUAUAAUAAAAUUAGAGCUGGUGGCGGAACAAAGGUGAAAUAUGAAAUGAUGAUGCAUGAACAUGUCGCAUAAAAAUAAAGAAGUUAGCCGCGUAUCGCAAUAUUGCAUAAUUCUUUGUUCCAUACAAAAAGAAUUCACUAUUCUUCAUGUGACGGUGAAAUACAUUUAAAUUUGAAAAGCUGUUGCGUAAAAAUGUUCGAUAAUUGUCAGAGAAAUGUUCGUGAAUAUCAAAUAUAAAUCGAAAUUUACUUUAUGAAAUAAAAUGUAAUUAUUAAAUAUAACAAAAAGCGAAAUAAAAGCUUGAUAAAAUUGAAUACCACCGGCUGCAAAAACAUAUCGCAAAAAUGAUAAAAGAGAAGAAUGAGUUAGAUUAGUUUUCUUCAAAAAUUCUAAAAUUUUCCUUGCCUAUAUUAUGUCAGUUUACUAAUGUUUGAUCAGUGAUCGGAUCAAACUUUUAACUAAAAUGCAUUUUGAAAUAUUCGGAUUUAUCAACGGCAGGGAUGAUAUUAACAGUUUCGAAAGAGAUUCAGCCUGAUAAAUACCCUUAUAUUUGCAUUAUAAUGGCCUUCGUAAAUAUC